GGAUGUAAGGACAAUCUGGCUACAGCAUCUGUCACCCCAUUGAUUGCCAGGGUUGAUUCAGCUGAUCUGGCUGGCUAGGUGGGUUGUCCUGUUCCUCCCACACUGUUCCGUGUAUGUCCUAACUGAAGCUGAGCAUUGAAGAGGAUGACCUUUUCCAAUUGAAGAGGAUCAUUCUUUGGUCAAGGGCAUGUGAGUAACUGCAUUCACUUCUAGAACUUCCAAACAAGCUCUCAAGCGGACACAACUAACAUAGAGAGGAAUUCCAUUGGGAACAGGCUCUGAAUUAGUCAACAUUUGUAGGUAUGAAUCCAGAGCCUUCAGCUUAGGUGGCAAGAAAUGUUGAGUUUU
ensembl:misc_RNA 7SK 7SK RNA